AUCUGUGCUUGCCCAGGAAUUUGCCUCGCCUCUCAGUAGUACAGAAGACACUUGAAUCAUACACAGCUUUGAAGUGCUUGUUGAGCUGAAACCCCCACUGAGAGAUCAGACAUUCCUCUGCUGAGGGUCUUCAGCCAUGCACAGCUUUCAGAGGGGGAUGUUCUGGCUCUGGCUGAAGUGAUGAUAGAGAAGAAGGUUAUUACUUGAAAACAAGGAGGGCUCUAACUCAGCAUUACUGCUAAACACAGUGACUUGUGAUCCUGCCAGUCGUGUGCCAAAUGGACUCCCGUUUUCCAAAGGACUUAACAGCUGAAAUGAAAUUGGGAAGGAAAUUUAGGCUCUAAAGCCUGUGAUGUUUUGCUUCUCCUACUGUACAGUGAAUGCCACUAGAAUUUGGGAUGCCUUUGUCCAGGUUUCUCAGCUCAUACUGAUGUCUUGUGGAAUGGAGGGCACCCACACUUCAUUCAGUCUUCAGGAAACUCCUGCAUCUACAGAUAAAGGUAUAUAUGUGUGCUGGGAUAUUAUACAACAGCUGUUUUUGAAGGGACAGAUCUACCCAAUACAUUUCUGUGGAAACCAAGGAUGCAUUGGUGUAUGUGGACUAUGGCCAGGAAAGAAACAGGAUCCAGCCUUCCAAAUGGUACUGAAGAGGCAGGAUCAGAUUUCUGCUCGUUUGGGUUUGGAAUAGUCAGACAUGCAUCUCUGCCAUCAGGACAAAGCUGAGGAGCCAGCUGCUGGCUGUGAACUGUAAAUAUUGAGAUGUGGAAGGAAGUGGACUGGCUCCAGCAGAAGCUGAAAGGACUGACUGCACUGCUGAGUACAGUCGCGCUCCUAACUCAGGGGUGUUGCCAUCCCUAUAAUUUUGUUAAUCCUUUACUGAUGGGCUAUCCUAGUUUUGGCAGAGUUCUCUUUCCAGAGGAUUUCAGUUAGAUACAGAGAAUUUGAUCAAAACCAAUUCAUUUCCAAGAAAUGGCAAUAUUUUUUUUUCUGGAAAUGUAAUGGUGAGUAUCAUACAACUGGUUUUGCUACUUGCUGUAUGCUUUGAAACCAGUUCUUUCACUUUCUUAAGCCUGAUUCUUCUCCCAGUUCAACAACACCUAAGCAUAGGCUUUUUUUUCCCCAGAUACUCCAAAACUAUGAAGAAUUUUAAGUUACCUUAGAUUUAUUUCUAAUUCUGAAAACCUGUACCUUAAUGAAUAUGCUACACUGUAAAGGAGCCUGUCUAUUUUACCCAUGUUGAAUGUUGUCCUCCUCCUGUUACCAUUCUGCUUCCUCCUGUUGUGGAGUCAGCAUGCUGUCAAGAAUUCUGGGAAGAACUGGUUUUCUGGGGAAUUCCUUUUUUUUGCUAAACAGGCAAGCAUUUAUGAUGGCUUAGGACACCUAGGGCCAUAUAAUGUAUAAUUCCUGAUGUGAAAAAUAAACUACAGAAAGAGGAUCUAAGAACA
rnacentral:lncRNA from 1 species